GACAGAGGGUGCAAACGUUGCUCGGAAUUACUGGGCGUAAAGCGCGUGUAGGCGGUUUCGCAAGUCAGGUGUGAAAGCCCGGGGCUCAACCCCGGAAGUGCACUUGAUACUACGGAGCUUGAGUACUGAAGAGGAGAGCGGAAUUCCCGGUGUAGAGGUGAAAUUCGUAGAUAUCGGGAGGAACACCAGUGGCGAAGGCGGCUCUCUGGGCAGAUACUGACGCUGAGACGCGAAAGCAUGGGGAGCAAACAGG
rnacentral:rRNA from 1 species